UACGAAGGGUGCAAACGUUGCUCGGAAUUAUUGGGCGUAAAGCGCACGUAGGCGGCUUUGCAAGUCGGAUGUGAAAUCCCUCGGCUUAACCAAGGAAGUGCAUCCGAAACUGCAGAGCUUGAGUACUUAAGAGGAUCGCGGAAUUCCCGGUGUAGAGGUGAAAUUCGUAGAUAUCGGGAGGAACACCAGUGGCGAAGGCGGGUCUCUGGGCAGUAACUGACGCUGAGGAGCGAAAGCGUGGG
rnacentral:rRNA from 1 species